UUCAGGUUAGGUAGUUUUGUUUAAGUUAGCAUUAGCUUUUGGGACUGGGUGACUGGGAGUGGGAAGGAUCAAGGAUCGUACCUUUCGCACUUACUAAGUUAUGUAGGGUUAGGUUUUUUAAUUUUGAGUUUAGUUGUUCAGUUAGAACUUAGAAUAAAAAAAGGAGAAGACAAUUUUUGUUCGUUGCUAGCCAGCUAGCCUAGUGAAGUAGUGAUAGCGUUCCGGACUUAAGUAUGGAAGAGAACUUGUGUGCUUGUGUAAACCUGGCAAUAACUCAGGAAUAAAUAAAUAGUGUGCGAGCUAUAAAAAAUCUAUUGCUGGCCGUUUUGCGGUAACCAACAAACCAACAAUUGGAAGGGAUGGGUGAUGGGUUCGAUUCGUGCCACCUCCCCUCCUGCUCAGGCACAUCUAAUCAAAGUAUAAUUUUCAAGGCUGAAGAGGAGAGGACCUGGUCCUAUAACGGUCCUGUCCGAGGAGUAUCGUCUCGCUGGACUAAAUGUCACGAUAUUUUUAAAAAGAAAGUUAAGGACUAAGGGAAGGGUGAUGGUAACAUCAAGAUCUCAGUGUUGUGAUCAGUUAUUUACAGUUGUAAUUAAUCCAGGACAUUUUAUGUCAUUCCCGGUUACAAUAACGUUACCUCUCAAGGCUACCCUGCAUCACCUUCAAACAAUGCAGGGAUUUUUCAAAACGGGAAACUAACCUCAGGUAUGUAAAAAAGGGUGAAUAAUCAUUCCACCAAGAGAUUUGCACCGAGACAGAGCUACAUACGACAAUCCUGGUUGGAAUUCGGUAUUACCCAAAUUAACAACCACCUGUAAAAAGUAAUUUAGAUCUGCAAUGGGUGACUGGUCUUUGUGGCUGGACAAGAAAGUAAGCAGGUGUUGAUGGUCCCCAUAAUCAAGGCUAGAUGAAAACCAAUCAUGUUGUAAAUCAACAUCCCGAUGUCCAGGUUCCACAACAGCAACAUUAUCUGUUGGCCCUUUUCCAGCGACUACCAUCCACUCCUCAGACUGCUCCACCAAAACCCAUUCCUUCCGAAAGUUAAUCUUUACAAAUGCUCGUGAAGAUGACAUCAGCUUUUUUCCAGUUGCCAAGUGGAUGACCUCUUGCGAAGAAAUGUCUCUUUCUCCACAAGUGUGUAUCAAUAAUUUCUGAAUAGCUUUACGGGCAGGGUCUAAUUCAUCUAAAUCCUUGAUGCUUUCAUUAAAAACUUCUGUCAUUGUUUUUGAUUUAGUCUACAGCAAAGAAAGUCCAAGCAAUUAGAAUUGUCCUUAAAGAUUUAUCACACUUAUUUUUGGAUUUGUAUUUCAACAUAAGUAAGCAUAAAACUAAUAAUUUGUAAUAAAAGGAAAAUGAGCAUUAUUUUGGCAUUAUAUUUGUCUAAUAAACUAUUGUAAUAACUAAUAAUAAGGUUGUUUUAUUUGGUACUAAAGUUAUUUGUCA